UAAGCGGAGGAAAAGAAACUAACAAGGAUUCCCCUAGUAACUGCGAGUGAAGCGGGAAAAGCUCAAAUUUAAAAUCUGGCGGUCUUUGGCCGUCCGAGUUGUAAUUUAGAGAAGCGUCUUCCGCGCCGGACCGUGCACAAGUCUCCUGGAAUGGAGCGUCAUAGAGGGUGAGAAUCCCGUCUUUGGCACGGAUGCCCGGUGCUUCUGUGAUGCGCUCUCGAAGAGUCGAGUUGUUUGGGAAUGCAGCUCAAAAUGGGUGGUGAACUCCAUCUAAAGCUAAAUAUUGGCGAGAGACCGAUAGCGAACAAGUACCGUGAGGGAAAGAUGAAAAGCACUUUGGAAAGAGAGUGAAACAGUACGUGAAAUUGUUGAAAGGGAAACGCUUGAAGUCAGUCGCGUCGACCGAGACUCAGCCUUGCCUUGGCUUGGUGUACUUCUCGGCCCGACGGGUCAGCGUCAAUUUUGCCCCUCGGAUAAUGGCAAGGGAAAGGUGGCACCUUUACGGGUGCGUUAUAGUCUCCUGUCGCAUGCGAGGGGUGGGAUUGAGGAACUCAGCGCGCACCUUGGUGUCGGGGCUUCUGCCCACGUCACGCGCUUAGGAUGCUGGCAUAAUGGCUUUAAACGACC
rnacentral:rRNA from 1 species